ACUAAGCGUACACGGUGGAUGCCCUGGCAGUCAGAGGCGAUGAAGGGCGUGCUAAUCUGCGAUAAGCGCCGGUAAGGUGAUAUGAACCGUUAUAACCGGCGAUACCCGAAUGGGGAAACCCAGUGUGAUUCGUCACACUAUCAUUAACUGAAUCCAUAGGUUAAUGAGGCGAACCGGGGGAACUGAAACAUCUAAGUACCCCGAGGAAAAGAAAUCAACCGAGAUUCCCCCAGUAGCGGCGAGCGAACGGGGAGGAGCCCAGAGCCUGAAUCAGCAUGUGUGUUAGUGGAAGCGUCUGGAAAGGCGCGCGAUACAGGGUGACAGCCCCGUACACAAAAGCGCAUGUGCUGUGAGCUCGAUGAGUAGGGCGGGACACGUGGUAUCCUGUCUGAAUAUGGGGGGACCAUCCUCCAAGGCUAAAUACUCCUGACUGACCGAUAGUGAACCAGUACCGUGAGGGAAAGGCGAAAAGAACCCCGGCGAGGGGAGUGAAAAAGAACCUGAAACCGUGUACGUACAAGCAGUGGGAGCACAGGUUUACCUGUGUGACUGCGUACCUUUUGUAUAAUGGGUCAGCGACUUAUAUUCUGUAGCAAGGUUAACCGAAUAGGGGAGCCGGAGGGAAACCGAGUCUUAACCGGGCGUUAAGUUGCAGGGUAUAGACCCGAAACCCGGUGAUCUAGCCAUGGGCAGGUUGAAGGUUGGGUAACACUAACUGGAGGACCGAACCGACUAAUGUUGAAAAAUUAGCGGAUGACCUGUGGCUGGGGGUGAAAGGCCAAUCAAACCGGGAGAUAGCUGGUUCUCCCCGAAAGCUAUUUAGGUAGCGCCUCGUGAAUUCAUCUCCGGGGGUAGAGCACUGUUUCGGCUAGGGGGCCAUCCCGGCUUACCAACCCGAUGCAAACUGCGAAUACCGGAGAAUGUUAUCACGGGAGACACACGGCGGGUGCUAACGUCCGUCGUGAAGAGGGAAACAACCCAGACCGCCAGCUAAGGUCCCAAAGUCAUGGUUAAGUGGGAAACGAUGUGGGAAGGCCCAGACAGCCAGGAUGUUGGCUUAGAAGCAGCCAUCAUUUAAAGAAAGCGUAAUAGCUCACUGGUCGAGUCGGCCUGCGCGGAAGAUGUAACGGGGCUAAACCAUGCACCGAAGCUGCGGCAGCGAACGUAUCACCCAAGACAACUUUACGGAGUUGACGAUUGACGGAGCGAAGCGACGUCAAAGCGUUCAUUAAAGUCGAGUUGGCUUAGGGAUACGUUCGUUGGGUAGGGGAGCGUUCUGUAAGCCUGUGAAGGUGGCCUGUGAGGGUUGCUGGAGGUAUCAGAAGUGCGAAUGCUGACAUAAGUAACGAUAAAGCGGGUGAAAAGCCCGCUCGCCGGAAGACCAAGGGUUCCUGUCCAACGUUAAUCGGGGCAGGGUGAGUCGACCCCUAAGGCGAGGCCGAAAGGCGUAGUCGAUGGGAAACGGGUUAAUAUUCCCGUACUUGGUGUUACUGCGAAGGGGGGACGGAGAAGGCUAUGUUGGCCGGGCGACGGUUGUCCCGGUUUAAGCGUGUAGGUGUGUGUUCCAGGUAAAUCCGGUUCACUUUAACACUGAGGCGUGACGACGAGGCACUACGGUGCUGAAGCAACAAAUGCCCUGCUUCCAGGAAAAGCCUCUAAGCAUCAGGUAACAUCAAAUCGUACCCCAAACCGACACAGGUGGUCAGGUAGAGAAUACCAAGGCGCUUGAGAGAACUCGGGUGAAGGAACUAGGCAAAAUGGUGCCGUAACUUCGGGAGAAGGCACGCUGACACGUAGGUGAAGUGAUUUACUCAUGGAGCUGAAGUCAGUCGAAGAUACCAGCUGGCUGCAACUGUUUAUUAAAAACACAGCACUGUGCAAACACGAAAGUGGACGUAUACGGUGUGACGCCUGCCCGGUGCCGGAAGGUUAAUUGAUGGGGUCAGCGCAAGCGAAGCUCCUGAUCGAAGCCCCGGUAAACGGCGGCCGUAACUAUAACGGUCCUAAGGUAGCGAAAUUCCUUGUCGGGUAAGUUCCGACCUGCACGAAUGGCGUAAUGAUGGCCAGGCUGUCUCCACCCGAGACUCAGUGAAAUUGAACUCGCUGUGAAGAUGCAGUGUACCCGCGGCAAGACGGAAAGACCCCGUGAACCUUUACUAUAGCUUGACACUGAACAUUGAGCCUUGAUGUGUAGGAUAGGUGGGAGGCUUUGAAGCGUGGACGCCAGUCUGCGUGGAGCCGACCUUGAAAUACCACCCUUUAAUGUUUGAUGUUCUAACGUGGACCCGUUACCCGGGUUGCGGACAGUGUCUGGUGGGUAGUUUGACUGGGGCGGUCUCCUCCUAAAGAGUAACGGAGGAGCACGAAGGUUGGCUAAUCCUGGUCGGACAUCAGGAGGUUAGUGCAAUGGCAUAAGCCAGCUUGACUGCGAGCGUGACGGCGCGAGCAGGUGCGAAAGCAGGUCAUAGUGAUCCGGUGGUUCUGAAUGGAAGGGCCAUCGCUCAACGGAUAAAAGGUACUCCGGGGAUAACAGGCUGAUACCGCCCAAGAGUUCAUAUCGACGGCGGUGUUUGGCACCUCGAUGUCGGCUCAUCACAUCCUGGGGCUGAAGUAGGUCCCAAGGGUAUGGCUGUUCGCCAUUUAAAGUGGUACGCGAGCUGGGUUUAGAACGUCGUGAGACAGUUCGGUCCCUAUCUGCCGUGGGCGCUGGAGAACUGAGGGGGGCUGCUCCUAGUACGAGAGGACCGGAGUGGACGCAUCACUGGUGUUCGGGUUGUCAUGCCAAUGGCACUGCCCGGUAGCUAAAUGCGGAAGAGAUAAGUGCUGAAAGCAUCUAAGCACGAAACUUGCCCCGAGAUGAGUUCUCCCUGAGACUUAGAGUCUCCUGAAGGAACGUUGAAGACGACGACGUUGAUAGGCCGGGUGUGUAAGCGCAGCGAUGCGUUGAGCUAACCGGUACUAAUGAACCGUGAGGCUUAACC
rnacentral:rRNA from 1 species